GAUAUGCGAAGAAGCGGGAGGUUGCGACAGUUAGUCGGUUUUUCCGUGGAGUAUGUCCGAUUUUAAACCGGGCG
rnacentral:ncRNA from 1 species